GGGCGGAGGGGGUCCAGGACCCUUUUUGAGUGGCAUUGCAGUUGGCAUUGAUCCUUUUGUAGGCAUGACAGGUGGUGGUGGUGGUGAUUGCAAUAAUUCUUUGGAAAGCGGGGCUGGCAGUGGAGGAGCACUUUUUGGGAUGUCAGUUUCACCGGUUGUAUCUUGUUGUUUCUCAUGAUCAUUCUCAUUCACAUUUGGCAAUGGAACCUUCGUGUUUUUGCUUGUCUGCAAGUGACAUUCAAUUAUGCCAGUGUUUGCUGCUCUCACUUCUUCUUUGCUCUGUG
rnacentral:misc_RNA from 1 species